rnacentral:rRNA from 1 species
UGCAAUAGAGCAGAUAUCAGGCUCAACAACGUUAGCCCACUACAUCUUGCCUAGCCACAUCCCCACGGAUACACAGCAGUGACCAACAUUAGGCCAUAAGCACAUAAAGCUUGACCUAGCUAAAUACUCCUUCUUGGCCGGCAAAUCUCGUGCCAGCAGCCGCGGUUACACGGGAGGCCAAAGAUAGCACAAAACGGCGUAAAGAGUGACAAUAGAUCUUCUCCAACCUACCCAAUUGGAUUUUAAAACUAUAUCUUAGAGAUGAAAUCCAAAGAUAUCAAGAACCCCCAAAUAUCCACAAACAGGUUAUCCUACUCACGAAAAUCUGGACACAAACUAGGAUU